CCUACGGGAGGCAGCAGUGGGGAAUAUUGGGCAAUGGGGGCAACUCUGACCCAGCGACGCCGCGUGAAUGAUGAAGGUUUUCGGAUUGUAAAGUUCUGUGAGCAGGGAUGAAAACAAUGACGGUACCUCACUAGCAAGCCACGGCUAACUACGUGCCAGCAGCCGCGGUAAUACGUAGGUGGCAAGCGUUAUCCGGAUUGACUGGGCGUAAAGGGAGCGUAGGGGGUGUAGUAAGUCGGCGGUGUAAUGCGGGGGCUCAACCUCGGCGCUACUGCGAAAACUAUUAGGCUAGAGUGCAGGAGGGGUAAGUGGAAUUCCUAGUGUAGCGGUGGAAUGCGUAGAUAUUAGGAGGAACAUCAGGGGCGAAGGCGACUUACUGGACUGUAACUGACACUGAGGCACGAAAGCGUGGGGAGCAAACAGGAUUAGAUACCCGAGUAGUC
rnacentral:rRNA from 1 species